CCUACGGGAGGCAGCAGUGAGGAAUAUUGGUCAAUGGGCGCGAGCCUGAACCAGCCAAGUCGCGUGAGGGAAGACGGUCCUAUGGGUUGUCAACCUCUUUUGUAGGGGAACAAAAGACGCCACGCGUGGCUUUCCGAGAGUACCCGAAGAAAAAGCAUCGGCUAACUCCGUGCCAGCAGCCGCGGUAAUACGGAGGAUGCGAGCGUUAUCCGGAUUUAUUGGGUUUAAAGGGUGCGCAGGAGGAAGAUCAAGUCAGCGGUAAAAUUUAGAGGCUCAACCUCUUCGAUGCGGUGAAACUGGGUUGCUUGAGUGAGAGAUAAGGAUGGGGAAUUCGUGGUGGAGCGGUGAAAUGCAUAGAUAUCACGCAGAAC
rnacentral:rRNA from 1 species